UCCGAUAUAGUGUAGGGGUUAACAUAGCCCGCUUUCAUUCUACACUGUAGAACAAAGAGCCGGGCAGCCCCGGGUUCGAUUCCCGGUAUCGGAA